ACCAGCCUGGGGAGAACCUAUAG
rnacentral:piRNA from 1 species